AGAGUUUGAUCCUGGCUCAGGAUGAACGCUGGCGGCGUGCCUAACACAUGCAAGUCGAGCGAACCCUUCGGGGUGAGCGGCGGACGGGUGAGUAACGCGUGGGUAACCUGCCCUGUACACACGGAUAACAUACCGAAAGGUAUGCUAAUACGGGAUAAUAUAUGA
rnacentral:rRNA from 1 species